UACGUAGGGAGCUAGCGUUGUUCGGAAUUACUGGGCGUAAAGCGCACGUAGGCGGCGAUUCAAGUCAGAGGUGAAAGCCCGGGGCUCAACCCCGGAACUGCCUUUGAAACUAGAUUGCUAGAAUCCUGGAGAGGCGAGUGGAAUUCCGAGUGUAGAGGUGAAAUUCGUAGAUAUUCGGAAGAACACCAGUGGCGAAGGCGACUCGCUGGACAGGUAUUGACGCUGAGGUGCGAAAGCGUGGGGAGCAAACAGG
rnacentral:rRNA from 1 species